UGACCGAUGGCUCAGCCUGGUAGAGCAGCCGCUUCACACGCGGAAGAUCGCAGGUUCGAAUCCUGCUCGGUCAA
rnacentral:tRNA from 1 species